ensembl:snoRNA
AGCACACAUACAAAAAGUAAAUGUAAACAUAAAUACACAUAUACUUUAAUGUGACUGAAUUGAGGUACAGGUCAUGCUUCAUCACGGUAAAUGCGUUGCAAUGGUGACCAUGAGAUCUGUACCCUUU